UACAGAGGUCCCAAGCGUUGUUCGGAUUCAUUGGGCGUAAAGGGUGCGUAGGCGGCGCGAUAAGUCGGGUGUGAAAUCUCGGAGCUUAACUCCGAAACUGCAUUCGAUACUGCCGUGCUUGAGGACUGGAGAGGAGACUGGAAUUUACGGUGUAGCGGUGAAAUGCGUAGAUAUCGUAAGGAAGACCAGUGGCGAAGGCGGGUCUCUGGACAGUUCCUGACGCUGAGGCACGAAGGUCAGGGGAGCAAACGGG
rnacentral:rRNA from 1 species